rnacentral:misc_RNA from 1 species
UCAAACUUGGUCAUUUAGAGGAAGUAAAAGUCGUAACAAGGUCUCCGUUGGUGAACCAGCGGAGGGAUCAUUACAGAGUUAUCCAACUCCCAACCCUUUGUGAACCUUACCACAGUUGCCUCGGCGCGAGCCGCGCUUACCCUGUAGCUACCCUGUAGCUCCCGUGUAGUGCGCAGAUGGCCCGCCGACGGACAGCUAAACUCUUGUCUCCACACAAGUAUAUCUGAUUGCUUAAACUUGAAAUAAGUUAAAACUUUCAACAACGGAUCUCUUGGUUCUGGCAUCGAUGAAGAACGCAGC